GGCCUCCUGAGCUGAGAGCUGCGCGUGCCGAUCUGACCUUACUAUUUGGAGGAUAGUCAGCCGCCCCCCAACCCUACCCCCCCAGCAACCUUCUUUGUCUAAUAGUUUUUAGAUAUUUGUAAUAAAGUGGAUUGGGUUUUAUUUUUACAUGCCUCUUUGUUAUUAUCCUUUGCGGGGAGGGUUCGAACUUAGCCACGUUACAGAAGGAACAUUAGCAGUUCCUCCUGCCCUUACCAGGAGGUGGCGUAGUCAGAGCAGUGUGGGUAUUCUGUGCUUUGGGCACCACAAGAAAGCACCAAAAUGUUUUAAAUAACUUUAGCGUUAUUUUAAAAGAGAACAAUCAAGGAAAUAAACCUGUUAAUUCUUGUUUAAAUAAAUUAACGCAAGAGAGUCGGCUCUUUAAAGAAAAUACUGUGUGGCUCUAUGAGCAUGCGCUACAUGAGAGCGAGCCAGAGAGGAGAGCGCAUGCGCUCAUUAAAACAGGAAUUAACCGCGUUAUAUCUUGAUUAUUGAAAUGCUUCGAGCGUUUUACUUUAUUAUUCACAUUGGCAGAAAAGUGCUUCAUUACUUAAAAAACGUUAUGGUUAUAGGGGUUUAUUUGAAAUAACAGGCGCUCCGCUGGUGUCGCCAUUUUGAAACGGGCUGGCCACUUCGGUCUAUCAUUUGACCGCAUUGUUCAAACAGACCUGCCGAUUAUGGCCGAGGUCUGGGACUCGGUCAUUUAGCCUUGGCCUAUUAAAGUUUGCUGUUAAAAUGCUUUCUUCAACCUAACACUGGUAUCUGACUCUUGAAUCUGGCUGAAAUGAUCCCAGUCGAUUUUCCAAUCUCCGCCUUUUCUAUUUGGCAGAAUGCACAGCCUGGAUCCAAACUGCCUUCCUUCCCAGUUGGACUAACAGUUGGCUCAACCUGACACUCUAUACCAUUUAAACCCCAGCUGAUCACAGAGCUUAUUGCAGGAUGUGCGUUUAUUCCUCUCCAUGUGUUGUGGGGCUGCCUUGCCUAACCCCUAUAGUAAGGAGAAGGUCAUAAACUUGUGGUCUUGUGUUUUAUUAAUUCUGAAAUGGGUAAGAAAUGAGCAGCAGGACGAUAUAGAGCUAAAAGGUGCGAUUUUUCUAGCACUACGAUGUAAUCCAAGGAGAAAGGCAGCACUGCCUUGCUGAAUGUGAUUUCUGUGGCAAAAAGAUGGUGAUAUUGCUGGCAAGCGGUCUUUUUAUGAAACUCAAAUGUAACUCUGUCAAAGUACAAUUUUACCAGGGUCCCUGAAUUCGCUUGAGAUGCUCUGUUAAAAUAACCUCCCAGAAGACAGAAUGAAGCUGUAAUUCAUACAGGUGGCAAAACUAAAAUGUCUCUUGGUAAUUUCAUGAGGGCGGUGAUGGAAUUACAAAUGUGCAUGUUUUCGGCGAGUGAUGGAUGAGGUGAUAUGAAACAUGCAGUUGUCUGUAAUCGCUGCAGCUUCGGGGAAAAGACUAGCAUCCCUUUAAAAUUCAUUACAUUAGGAUGGCAGGCAGAGGUCACUGCAGUUUGGACGUGCCAGGAACAGGAAUAAAGCCAAGUAGAAUGUAUGGAACUUGCAGUCUGUAAUAUGUCACAGAGUAAGGCAUAACUAAACGCACUGCUGAGCGUAGAGGAUUACAGUAGUAUAAUGCUAAUCCCUACUAUAUACACUCCAUAUACAAUACACAUUUUAUAUACAUUUUAUUAUGUAUACAUAUUUUAUAUACAGCUCUGGAAACAAGAGACCGCAUGUUAGAAAGGCUCUUGUAGCUUUAAGGAACACCGGUAAGUGCAAAGGACUGUGGGCGCAUGCGUGACGAGAGCGCGCGGGAGAGCCUGCAGGAAUAGGCAGCACGUCGGCGAGCUGCAGUUUAUGUGUAGUUAGUUUAGUUGUUCCUGGCAGUAAAUAGAGUCACUGAUUAAUGUAAGUACUAAGUUUAUUGAUUAUGAGUGAUAAGUGACGCUGUACUAAUUUAGUUUACUUAAUUGCGCGGCUAGGUUAACGUGACCUAGCUUGCGUACUGUUAUAAUUAUCGCUGACGAGUGUUCCGUUGUACACCUCGGAAAAAUAUUUGCGUUUAUUUCCCGCCCAAUCAUUCCCUCUAAUACGAAUUGCUGCUAAUGUAAUGUAUUGUUGUGGGUAUAGCCCAACUGUUAAGGCGAUAUGGUAAAAUUAUGCAUUAUGUUAGUGUAUUAUGGUAAUAACCAUUGUAAGCACUGUGGUAAUUUGUUUUUCCUGUUCAUUUGUUAAAGAAUCAUACAUAAAUACAAACUUACUUACCAACCCACUUCGUCUGAGUGUGCAUCCAACUGACCUCAAAUAAGAUAAGCCAGAGUACAACUAAUUGCUCCCCCCUCCUGAUUGAGAACAUGUAUCUGGUGAAAUACGGUUAGCAGCCCCCCCCCCCCAGAAUCAUGUCUAUCCUGAAUCGUGACUGAUAUCCCACAGCGAGUACUACCCUCCUGCAGCAACCCCUUACAGUUUCCCAGGGGAGUGUGGCCCCCCUUUCCCUCACCGCAUCAAAUUUUUCAGUUUCACUCAUUUCUCAGUUUAUGGAUUAUGGGUAUGAGCCUGUGUAAAAUACACAUUUUUUUUUGCAAACUCCAGCUUGGCUCUUCCCUGCUUCUCAUUGAUGAAGGGCUUCUUCCUUGCUUAAUGGGUCUUCACCGCUGCUUCUAGGAGCCUGUCCUACCAGUACACUUCACACUUAAUGUUUUCUAUUCCUUUUGAAGGUCACUUAAGGUCAUCCUCCGAUUUGUUAGACACUGACGGAUAAGUUGAUGGUCAUCUGUGGCAUUAGAAGGUUACUUCUGCCCACUACCUGGCUGGUUUUUGAUUUUUCCCAGUGUCUCCUGCUUCUUCACCCUGUUCUUGUGUACUGCGGUCUUAGAAACUCAUGAGCAUGGAAGCAGCCUGCCUCACAGUGUAGCCUUCUGCCAGCAGAACCAGGAUUAAACCAGAAUUUAACAAUGCAGAUUUUAAAAAAGUAUAUAGAGUGGUCUCUUAAUGUUUUACAGAGCUGUGUAUUGUUUAUAUGUAUUUAUUUGAUCUUAUAGCUGCAUGUUUGAACCUGAGACCAGUUUUGAAAUGGAGUCUGUUUCAGAAUACUACAUUCACACCCCCAAAACCUUCAUAUCCCAAAUACUGCAUCAUGAAAGGUGAAAAUUGGUAGGUUUAUGCUGGUGAAAUAAUGAAGAUAGAUGCUGCUGCUUUUAAAUCAUUCACAAGGUUGUUUAUUGAAAUGGUUUAUUGAAUGGCAUCUAACAAUUUGAAACACAUAUGGAGGUAUAAUAGACAUUCGCCUCAGAAUUAUAUUUCUGGUAUGUAAUUUUAUCUUUAAAGUGACCUUAUUAAAUUUGUUCCCCGAAGUAGUAAUUUCAUCCCACACCCUGAGGGCUUUUGCACGCUGGUUAUAUGUGCUGUUAGUAUGCUAACAGCAUUUUCUACCCAGGGAGUCUGAUCGAAAACCAAAAUCAAGCUGCUGCUGUGAGCUCCUGCUGAGCACCCUGCUUGGAGGCAUGUAGACUCGACGGACGCUACGGAGUGUUCCAGUGACCGCCCACUAAUACAUAUCUGCAUCAUAUAUGUGGGAAUGAUGAGAUUCCUCCCAUUGUUCAGCUUAAUCUUAAUCAUUAACAAUUGUUUGCUUAUAAGUAAAUGAAUUUUCUCUCUGUGUUCUUCCUAUCACAUUCCCUUGGGGUGUAUCGUAUUACAUUUUUAAAUGUUUUAAUGACAUAUAGUUUUAGGAACAUCAGCACCUGCACUGUAGUAUUCAAUUCAAUUUAUUUUAUAUAGCGCCUUUUAAUAAAGAAAGCCGGAAGACAAUGGAGGAGAGGAACCAAAAGCUCCCAAGUGUUCACUGUAAUGUUCAACUCACACAGCCAGGAUCUAUGACAGUGAGACCAGGAGAGUCUCUGACCAUCUCCUGUAAAGUCUCUGGUUAUUCACUGACUGACAGCAGCUAUGCUACACACUGGAUCCGACAACCUUCAGGGAAAGAACUGGAUUGGGUUGGUUUUAUAUGGUAUCAUGGAAUCACUGGUUACAAAGAGUCUCUUAAGAAUAAAUUCACCAUCUCCAGAGACACCUCCAGCAACACAGUAUAUUUACAAGGGAGGAGCCUGCAGACUGAAGACACAGCUGUGUACUACUGUGCCAGACGUGCACAGUGAGGGAAUGUAACGGGAGAGUGAUACAAAAACUGGACACCUGUGCCCACCCCAGGCGGGAGGCCCACCAUGCACCGGAGAGCAGUGGCGUCAAAAGUACACGCAUUCUUCACUCAAGUAGAAGUAUAGAUACCUGUUUUUAAAAAUACUCUAGCAAAAGUUGAAGUAUUGACUUCACUUUUUUACUCAAGUUAAAGUGAAAAGUACAGGCUUUAAAACUUACUUAACGUAUAAAAGCAUAAAGUACCCUUGCAAAGCUACCAUUUUAGGGCAGAGCUGACUGGACCCCAUGUACAAGUAUUAUGUAGAACGCAAGCAGAGUAAAAUAAAGCCACAUAAAUAUUUAAA